UGGGGAAUAUUGGACAAUGGGCGCAAGCCUGAUCCAGCCAUGCCGCGUGAGUGAUGAAGGCACUAGGGGUGUAAAGCUCUUUCACCGGUGAAGAUAAUGACGGUAAUCGGAGAAGAAGCCCCGGCCAACUUCGUGCCAGCAGCCGCGGUAAUACGAAGGGGGCUAGCGUUGUUCGGAUUUACUGGGCGUAAAGCGCACGUAGGCGGACUAUUAAGUCAGGGGUGAAAUCCCUGGGCUCAACCCCGGAACUGCCUGUUAUACUGGUAGUCUUGAGUUCGAAAGAGGUGAGUGGAAUUCCGAGUGUAGAGGUGAAAUUCGUAGAUAUUCGGGGGAACACCAGUGGCGAAGGCGGCUCACUGGCUCGAUACUGACGCUGAGGUGCGAAAGCGUGGGGAGCAAACAGG
rnacentral:rRNA from 1 species